CCUACGGGUGGCAGCAGUGAGGAAUAUUGGUCAAUGGACGAGAGUCUGAACCAGCCAAGUAGCGUGAAGGAUGACUUCCCUAUGGGUUGUAAACUUCUUUUAUAUGGGAAUAAAAUGUUCCACGUGUGGGAUUUUGUAUGUACCAUAUGAAUAAGGAUCGGCUAACUCCGUGCCAGCAGCCGCGGUAAUACGGAGGAUCCGAGCGUUAUCCGGAUUUAUUGGGUUUAAAGGGAGCGUAGGUGGAUUGUUAAGUCAGUUGUGAAAGUUUGCGGCUCAACCGUAAAAUUGCAGUUGAAACUGGCAGUCUUGAGUACAGUAGAGGUGGGCGGAAUUCGUGGUGUAGCGGUGAAAUGCUUAGAUAUCACGAAGAACUACGAUUGCGAAGGCAGUUCACUGGACUGCAACUGACACUGAGGCUCGAAAGUGUGGGUAUCAAACAGGAUUAGAUACCCCAGUAGUC
rnacentral:rRNA from 1 species